GAUGAACGCUGGCGGCAUGCCUAAUACAUGCAAGUCGAACGAGAGGAAGGAAAGCUUGCUUUUCUGAAUCUAGUGGCGAACGGGUGAGUAACACGUAGGUAACCUGCCCAUGUGCCCGGGAUAACUUCUGGAAACGGAUGCUAAAACCGGAUAGGUAGCAGACAAGCAUUUGACUGCUAUUAAAGUGGCUAAGGCCAUGAACAUGGAUGGACCUGCGGUGCAUUAGCUAGUUGGUGAGGUAACGGCCCACCAAGGCGACGAUGCAUAGCCGGCCUGAGAGGGCGGACGGCCACAUUGGGACUGAGACACGGCCCAAACUCCUACGGGAGGCAGCAGUAGGGAAUUUUCGUCAAUGGGGGGAACCCUGAAUGAGCAAUGCCGCGUGAGUGAGGAAGGUCUUCGGAUCGUAAAGCUCUGUUGUAAGAGAAAAACGACAUUCAUAGGGAAUGAUGAGUGAGUGAUGGUAUCUUACCAGAAAGUCACGGCUACCUACGUGCCAGCAGCCGCGGUAA
rnacentral:rRNA from 1 species